rnacentral:lncRNA from 1 species
GUUGGCGCUCCGCCCCCCUCGCUUUCAGUGCGAUGGACAUGCGUCUCGAGAGCCUCAUGUUGGCGCUCCGCCCCCCUCGCUUUCGGUGCGAUGGCCAUGCGUCUCGAGAGCCUCAUGUUGGCGCUCCGCUCCCCUCGCUUUUCGUGCUAUAUCCAUUCUUCUCGAAAAUGCAACCUACAGUACUCUUCACGGGAACCACAGCUACUUCUGGUAGGCAUCUGCAGCGAGCGCGUGACAGAAGAGGCCAGAACGCAGCGGUGAAGUUUCAGUCAGCAACCCACAUUGACCUCAACCUCAGGAGCCUCCAGCCUCAAUUCUCUCAGAUCGGAUUGUUGUUCAUCACCUCAAAUGUUAGAAUCACAAGCAUGUGCUCUCGCAGCCAGCUAGACACUUCAAAUAACGAUGACUAA